rnacentral:rRNA from 1 species
GACGAACGCUGGCGGCGUGCCUAAUACAUGCAAGUUGAGCGCUGAAGGUUGGUACUUGUACCAACUGGAUGAGCAGCGCACGGGUGAGUAACGCGUGGGGAAUCUGCCUUUGAGCGGGGGACAACAUUUGGAAACGAAUGCUAAUACCGCAUAAAAACUUUAAACACAAGUUUUAAGUUUGAAAGAUGCAAUUGCAUCACUCAAAGAUGAUCCCGCGUUGUAUUAGCUAGUUGGUGAGGUAAAGGCUCACCAAGGCGAUGAUACAUAGCCGACCUGAGAGGGUGAGCGGCCACAUUGGGACUGAGACACGGCCCAAACUCCUACGGGAGGCAGCAGUAGGGAAUCUUCGGCAAUGGACGAAAGUCUGACCGAGCAACGCCGCGUGAGUGAAGAAGGUUGUCGGAUCGUAAAACUCUGUUGGUAGAGAAGAACGUUGGCGAGAGUGGAAAGCUCAUCAAGUGACGGUAACUACCCAGAAAGGGACGGCUAACUACGUG